rnacentral:lncRNA from 1 species
GGCGUGCUGAAGAAGCUCCGCCUCCGCAUGGGCGGAGCCUCGGUUCGGGGCGUGCUGAAGACGCUCCUCCUCCGCGAGAUCGACCAUCCGUGUUUGUGUUGACGGUGGCGCGCGCGACCUGCUUCGCGGCAACCCUUGGUGACGGUGACGGGACGUUGGAAUCACUUCUUUUGGAACAUUUUGAAAACGUUGAACGUAAAACGCUUUAAUUUUUCUGUCAGGACAACAUGGAAGUACAGCCAAAUCUUUGCAGAGAUCUGUUCAAGGAUUUGAAAGAGCAACAAAGUUAUGACAAUGAUGUCACCCUUGCCCGACUGGAGGAUCUUUGUGAUGUUUCAUCCUUGCCAGACACAAGUCAUUAUCACAUUGCAGAGGCUUUUGAAGAGAUGGAGGGAACAAGCAUUCUUAUGCAGAUUCUGAACAACCUUUGUCCCAGUGGACAGGAUCUGCCAGACAAGGCAUUGCCUCACGUCACUUGUCUGCUCACCGCUCUGCUGACAUACAGCGUCUCUGAUGUUGAUCUGCGUGAGGAACUUGUGGAUAAUGAUGGAAUUAAAUUCCUCCUGAGCCUGCUGCAGCACCUGGGAACAGAUAUUAAAGAGGAUGAUGAGGAAAGCUGUGGGGUGCAGCGCCUCGCACUGGGCCUGUUGCAGUGCUUGAGUAGCACCCCCUGGCUGCAUGAAGCACUCAUUAAAGAACAGGCUGAAAUGGUCCUCACUCCAGUUCGUGACAACCAUUCAGAUGAGACAUGCCAACAUCAAGCAAGCCUUAUACUUGACAAGAUGGAAGAGAUUUCCAAGUGUGACCCCAUGGAGAGAAAAAGAGUUGACUUUGACAAGCCCAGGGUGGCUCUGAGAAGACUACCAGGGUACCAUGCUUCUGAUGCUGCUCGUCAUCAGGUGACAAAUUUGUGUGCCAGUCUUCUGGACGAUCUAUGGAAACAGAAAACGUAUGCGGACAGGCUCACAGAAAACCGGCUUUCAGAUCUCAACCAGCUUGUCACAAUGUUGGGAGCUGACCGUCAAGAACUGCAGAAAAUCUUCAAGUCGCGCAAGGCUUAUGGUCGGUAAUUCUUCAUCAGGCUGCACAAAAUGACUUGCUUGUUUUGUUUCUUUGUACAACACUGAAGCUUGUGUAGCAGUGUAAAUAAUGACUGCAAAAUCAUUGUAUGAAUUGAACCUAAAUUUAAUAGCAAACAAAAGGGCAACGGCAUGGAAGCCUUUCAAUCAGGAGGAGACCUGUCAAGCCUGAUGACACACACAACCAAGUGUUCGAGGAGGGCUCCUCCCCCCUCGACCACAAGACCAGGCUAAAAUUCACAAACUUGGAGUAACCAUCAAUAACAACAACAAUUUCAAUAGGUAAAAUCAACAACUGUAAUUAAUUGUAUGAAAAAAUGUCUCAUCGAGAAUAGUAGAAACUGUAAGCAGUACCAGAGAGCCCAGCAUGUACCUGGGAACACGAACAACACAUGGCUACCAAAAACAUCACAGCAGCUGAAGUGACUCGUCACUCUCCAAUGGCAAACAUAUAAUAUAUAUA